GACAGAGGGUGCAAACGUUGUUCGGAAUUACUGGGCGUAAAGAGCGUGUAGGCGGCCAGGUAGGUCGGUUGUGAAAACUGGAGGCUCAACCUUCAGAGGUCGACCGAAACCAUCUGGCUAGAGUCCGGGAGAGGGAGAGUGGAAGUUCCUGGUGUAGCGGUGAAAUGCGCAGAUAUCAGGAGGAACACCGGUGGCGAAGGCGGGUCUCUGGGCCGUAACUGACGCUGGAGGAGCGAAAGCGUGGGGAGCGAACAGG
rnacentral:rRNA from 1 species